rnacentral:rRNA from 1 species
UCAAAAGACCGUGAAACCGCUCAGAGUAUAAGCCCAUGGCAGCUUGGAAGGCAUGUCGCUAGCGGGGCAUCCGGUCCUCACGGAUCGGGUGUCACCUUGUCUCUGUUGUGGCUCGCCACGGUAGGGGGGUCAAGUCCACAUCCCGCCGUCGUGUGGGAGGUUCUCAGGCGCGUUGGUCUGGCGGCUGGUCUUCGGACCUUCCGUCUGGGCUCUUCGCGCUCGGUUCCUCUUCAACACGGUCGUUCAGACUCAGAGACAAGAUGCGACAAACAGCCCACCACGGCACGUUGUGAGGUCACCCGCAGGCUCGACUUUCGAUCGUGGUCCUUGACGCCGAGCAAGCGCAAUGCGUGUCGCAGAUCUUCCUAACCGGGCGGUAGCAGCACUGCCGCCAGGACAGUGGAAGGACACGCGCUCAACAGUCAGGAUCGGGCGGAGACUGAGUUCUGGUAUGAUCCUCUCGCGACGAGCCGCUUUCUGGCCAAGUUUCUGAAGUCCAGGGCUCCCGCAUGUGCCGCGGGAGCUCGCCUUGACGGUCUGGAUCUUGCAAAUAGAAGUCCUCUCAGUCGGGCUCAGAACGAGUGGUGUAAAGUCCAAGCCCAUGGGUCACGUCUCGAAACACGGGCCAAGGAGUAUAGCAUGUGUGCAAGUCUAAGAGUCUCACAAAACUCGAAGGCGAAGUGAAAGCAAGUAAGCGGCGGGCGAUCUACGGAAAUCCCGUCAGCUAGAGUGCGCCACGCCCUGGUGUGUGGUUGCGCUCCGGCUUUGGCAGAGUUGAUCCUGCAGCGGUACCGCAAACGUACGCUCAGGCGCAAACUCCAGGCUCACGUUUCGCACUGGUCUUCGGACUGUGCUUAGCACU